rnacentral:rRNA from 1 species
AGUUUGAUCCUGGCUCAGGAUUAACGCUAGCGGUGCGCCUAACACAUGCAAGUCGAGCGUGAUUACUUUGUAGCUUGCUACAGAGUAUGAAAGCGGCGAACGGGUGAGUAACACGUUGGUAUCUUCCCUCUGGUCAGGGAUGGCCAUCCGAAAGGAUGAUUAAUACCGGAUAGUCUCGAGAGAGUAAAGAUUUUAUCGCCAGAGGAGGAGCCUGCGGCCUAUCAGCUAGUUGGUGAGGUAACGGCUCACCAAGGCUAUGACGGGUAGCUGAUCUGAGAGGAUGGUCAGCCACAAUGGAACUGAGACACGGUCCAUACUCCUACGGGAGGCAGCAGUGAGGAAUCUUCCACAAUGGGGGCAACCCUGAUGGAGCGACACCGCGUGAAGGAUGAAGGUCUAACGAUUGUAAACUUCUUUUCUGGGGGAGCAUAAUGAGAGUACCUCAGGAAUAAGGGACGGCCAAAUACGUGCCAGCAGCCGCGGUAAUACGUAUGUCCCAAGCGUUAUCCGGAAUUACUGGGUGUAAAGCGUUUGUAGGCGGUUGAUUAAGUAAGAUAUGAAAGACCGGAGCUCAACUCCGUGUUUGUAUUUUAAACUGGUCAGCUAGAGUUAGGGAGAGGUAAGCGGAAUUCUAAGUGUAGGGGUGCAAUCCGUAGAUACUUAGAGGAACACCAAAAGCGAAGGCAGCUUACUGGAACUAUACUGACGCUGAGAAACGAAAGCGUGGGGAGCAAAAAGGAUUAGAUACCCUUGUAGUCCACGCCCUAAACGAUGAUAACUUGGUGUUGGGAGUAAUCCCAGUGCUGAAGCUAACGCGUUAAGUUAUCCACCUGAGGAGUACGAUCGCAAGAUUAAAACUCAAAGGAAUAGACGGGGACCCACACAAGCAGUGGAUCAUGUGGUUUAAUUCGACAAUAAACGAGGAACCUUACCCAGACUUGACAUCUAUAGAAUCUCUUGGAAACAAGAGAGUGCCCGUAAGGGAACUAUAAGACAGGUGCUGCAUGGUUGUCGUCAGCUCGUGCCUUGAGGUGUUCGGUUAAGUCCGUUAACGAGCGCAACCCAUGUUGUUAGUUGCAUUUUCUAACAAGACUGCCUAGGUUAACUAGGAGGAAGGUGUGGAUGACGUCAAAUCAGCAUGGCUCUUACGUCUGGGGCUACACACAUGAUACAAUGGUAUGUACAAAGAGGAGCAAUACGGUAACGUUGAGCAAAUCUCCAAAGCAUAUCUCAGUCCGGAUUGAGGGCUGCAACUCGCCCUCAUGAAGUCGGAAUUGCUAGUAAUCGUGAAUCAGACAUGUCACGGUGAAUAUGUUCCUGGGUCUUGUACUCACCGCCCGUCACGGCAUGGGAGAAAAUGAUACCGGAAGCCCCUCUAGUAAUAAGAGGGUCCAUGGUAGAAUUUUUGACUGGGCUGAAGUCGUAACAAGGUAAC